AUUGAACGCUGGCGGCAGGCCUAACACAUGCAAGUCGAGCGGAUGAAGGGAGCUUGCUUCUGGAUUCAGCGGCGGACGGGUGAGUAAUGCCUAGGAAUCUGCUUGGUAGUGGGGGAUAAUGUCUGGAAACGGGUGCUAAUACUGCAUACGUCCUGAGGGAGAAAGUGGGGGGUCUUUGGACCUCACGCUCUCAGAUGAGCCUAGGUCGGGCUAGCUAGCUGGUGGGGUGAAGGCCUACCAAGGCGACGAUCCGUAACUGGUCUGAGAGGAUGAUCAGUCACACUAGAACUUGGACACGGACCAGACUCCUACGGGAGGCAGCAGUGGGGAAUAUUGGACAAUGGUGGAAAGCCUGAUCCAGCCAGGCCGCGUCUGUGAAGAAGGUCUUCGGAUUGUAAAGCACUUUAAGUUGGGAGAAAGGGCAGUAGGUUAAUACCUUGCUGUUUUGACGGUACCAACAGAAUAAGCACCGGCUAACUUCGUG
rnacentral:rRNA from 1 species